UUAAGGCUGCAAAUGGGUCGGGUCGACCCGGGACCCGACCCGACCCGACCCGCUUUAGACCCGACCCGACCCGAAUUUUAGGACCCGCGGGGCCGGGUUGGGUCCUAAAUUUAGACCCGAUCUAUUUUUCGGGUCGGGUCGGGUCCAUCCNNNNNNNNNNNNNNNNNNNNNNNNNNNNNNNNNNAUAUAAAGCUAAAUGCCUAAAUCCUGCCUUCUCGCCUUCGGCCGCCCACGUGGUCCUACUCAGGCGCCGUACUGCAUUCUCCAGUCCACUGUCCAUUCUCCAUCAGUCCGUCGUUGUCCGUCUCCAUUCUCUCGAUCUCUUCUCUAGAGACUUCUUCCCUGGACGCUGGUUCUCUUCCCCUGUUCCACUUACCAUCCGAUCUUUCAUCCUUGAGGGUUUUGAGGUUCUUCGGUUCUUCCAUCCACCGAUCACUAUAGGUACUCCAUGAGUCUGUCCAUCUCUAUUCUCUUCUCUAGCAACUUCUUCUCUGGUUCUCCGCCACAUUCCAUCUAGUCUUUGAGGGUUUUGAGGUUCUUCAGUUCUUCCAUCCACCGACCCCCGUUCCUUAGGGUUUCCAGGUUUUCUUCUAUUGACUAAACUACUAGCCUACCCAUUCACACCUUUGCCGCUUCCAUCAACUGAUCAACCAACUCCGAGCGGUGAGAGCCUGAAAUCUUGCUGCAUGGGAAAGAUUGACCUCUAAGGCUCUAAAUCCCUCUAGAUCGACAGACUCCGAGCUUCUUUCCUCAACGAUCUAGUCUUCCUCAAACCCUAACUCCCUCAAAAGUUAAAACCUCCAUCAGCUUCUUCAAGAUACCUCAUCUCAAAGACUAAAACCCUUUCUAUUCCGAUUUCUCUCCUCUGUCUCUUGAUUUUCCAUCCUUUCAGCAAGAACUAGAGAAUCUCCAAGGAAGAGAAGAAGAAGAUGCACGGUAAGAUCAACUUCUUUUUUAUUUUUCAUCUUUUUAUAUUUUUUCUCUCUCUUUUUUUUUCUCAAUAUAGUUUUGAUUUGCUCGAUCUACUGCAGUGUGGUGUGGAUCCCUCUGCGAAGAAAGACUGGUAAGAGUGGUGCUGCAGCAGCCACUGUGGCUCCUUCCAUUUCCACUGCCCUGCAGCCCAAAAAACCAAAAGAAAAAGCUAAGCCACUAUCUCUUUUUUUUUUUAGUUCGUUUUCUCUUAAAAAAAUAAUCUUACUAUUUAUGAAAAUGUUAAUUAAUUAAUUUGAGUUUUUUNNNNNNNNNNNNNNNNNNNNNNNNNNNNNNNCUGCCCAUAUCUUUAGCCGUCCCAUCAUCAUUAAGGGCGACAUGAUAUUCG
rnacentral:lncRNA from 1 species